rnacentral:lncRNA from 1 species
AUCAACUGCAGACACAGCAAAGGAUGAGUGCGAAGGCCACGAGGUAAGCCCAGGCAGCAGGAACAGGGAGAAGGCGAGUGUGGCUGGGUCAAAGUGAUAAAGGAAGAGUAGAAGAAGUUGAAGUUGGACUUAGGCAGGCCCAGAUCAAAUAGAGCCGUAGAGGCCACAUAAGGAGCUUAGACUUUUGCCCUAUGCAAAUCGAAAGCCACAGGAGAUUUUAAAGCAGGUACUGACAUGGUCUUGCAUGAGGGCAACUACCUCUGGUCCAGCGAGGAAGUUGCCCUCUCAGUGUGAUCAUAUGGCUUCUGACCUGUGGCCAGUGCCAAGACCUAACAGACAGACAGCAACUUCAGAGAGCUAGGAGAAGUGAGUCCACAAAAACCUCUGAGUGUAUCAUCAGGAUUGCGACCCCCACAAGCCACACAAUUAUUGUGCUAGAGGCUGGUCCUGAAGUCACCAGCACCACCAAAGGAAACUGGAGGUCCCAGGGAAAGAAAAUCCUCAAUUCGACAUCUACCUUCACACGCCUACAAAAAAAUCCAGCGUGAUGACUGUAGCCAUGACACUUCUGGAGUGAAGCAGGCAGGCUGGAGUGCAAUGGCACGAUCUCGGCUCACCGCAACUCUGCCUCCUGUGUUCAAGCAAUUCUCCUGCCUCAGCCUCCCGAGUAGCUGGGAAUACAGGCGCGCACCACCAUGCCCAGCUAAUUUUUGUAUUUUAGAGACCAGGAUGGUCUCGAUCUCUUGACCUCGCGAUCUACCCGCCUUGGCCUCCCAAAGUGCUGGGAGCCACCGUGCCCGGCCCAAAACUGGGUUUUUUGAUACUUCUUUUUGUAUUGGUCUGCUCCAAUAAAGCCCAGGCUGACUACCUCCAGUCAGCCCCACUCAGAAAGAGCCCUUCUCUGGCCCUCUGGGGCAGAGAAGCCCUUCUGGGGCAUCUAGAAAUAACAGGCUCUGGUCUGCUGUUAUAUGACUGGCCCAAAGUCCCACGGGCAGAAUUUUUGUCCCUCCUGAGCAGAUGAGUGCAUACCUCUGAGGUUUGCAGCAUGGCAGCCGCCCUCUCCAGACAGAUCUCCACAAUGCAGUUCUUGGCCUUGAUGCAUGAGUGCUGGGACCUUAAUUCCUUCCUUUUUCCCUUUCCUCAUUCAGUCAAGGGGUGAUGGUAAAUGGCUAUAAAGCUUGUUUUAUUGAACUAACAUCUAAUAAGCUGAGUUCUCUGAAUUAGGUCUACUCAGAAAAGAAGUUGUAGAACUUAAACACCUAUGCCCACUGGAAAUGUACAGAAAAGGCUGCAUGAGGGCCUUUUCUCAAACUAAAGAAAGGAAUGCCCUAUUAACAGACUUUCUACUCUUUUAUUAAUAGUUCAUUUUUAGUAUCUGUGUUUUCUUCUGUUAAUUGCCAUUUUCAUCCUUUUAAUUUUGUAUAAUUGCCUACCAUUUAAAACCCUUCCUGUUUCAGUAAGUAUCUGGUUAUUCAUACUCAACAAUAUUUGAACAAUUUGGUAUAACAAAUAAAAUAUACCAUAGAGAAGAAAAAAGUGUACAUUUGCUUGGAAUAACACAACAAAAAGCACAGCCAUCACAAUCAUCAAUCGUCCACAUUACACACGAAUUGAGCUCUAAACCCAGGGACUUCAGGAUGGGAUGAAACGCCUAGGAAGUUCCCAGCUUUCCUUCUGUCUAUCACUCUC